rnacentral:rRNA from 1 species
ACGAACGCUGGCGGCGCGCCUAACACAUGCAAGUCGAACGAGCGAGAGAGAGCUUGCUUUCUCGAGCGAGUGGCGAACGGGUGAGUAACGCGUGAGGAACCUGCCUCAAAGAGGGGGACAACAGUUGGAAACGACUGCUAAUACCGCAUAAGCCCACGGCUCGGCAUCGAGCAGGGGGAAAAGGAGCAAUCCGCUUUGAGAUGGCCUCGCGUCCGAUUAGCUAGUUGGUGAGGUAACGGCCCACCAAGGCGACGAUCGGUAGCCGGACUGAGAGGUUGAACGGCCACAUUGGGACUGAGACACGGCCCAGACUCCUACGGGAGGCAGCAGUGGGGAAUAUUGCACAAUGGGGGAAACCCUGAUGCAGCGACGCCGCGUGGAGGAAGAAGGUCUUCGGAUUGUAAACUCCUGUUGUUGGGGAAGAUAAUGACGGUACCCAACAAGGAAGUGACGGCUAACUACGUG